rnacentral:rRNA from 1 species
ACUAAGCGUACACGGUGGAUGCCCUGGCAGUCAGAGGCGAUGAAGGACGUGCUAAUCUGCGAUAAGCGUCGGUAAGGUGAUAUGAACCGUUAUAACCGGCGAUUUCCGAAUGGGGAAACCCAGUGUGAUUCGUCACACUAUCAUUAACUGAAUCCAUAGGUUAAUGAGGCGAACCGGGGGAACUGAAACAUCUAAGUACCCCGAGGAAAAGAAAUCAACCGAGAUUCCCCCAGUAGCGGCGAGCGAACGGGGAGGAGCCCAGAGCCUGAAUCAGUGUGUGUGUUAGUGGAAGCGUCUGGAAAGGCGCGCGAUACAGGGUGACAGCCCCGUACACAAAAAUGCACAUACUGUGAGCUCGAUGAGUAGGGCGGGACACGUGGUAUCCUGUCUGAAUAUGGGGGGACCAUCCUCCAAGGCUAAAUACUCCUGACUGACCGAUAGUGAACCAGUACCGUGAGGGAAAGGCGAAAAGAACCCCGGCGAGGGGAGUGAAAAAGAACCUGAAACCGUGUACGUACAAGCAGUGGGAGCCUCUUUAUGGGGUGACUGCGUACCUUUUGUAUAAUGGGUCAGCGACUUAUAUUCUGUAGCAAGGUUAACCGAAUAGGGGAGCCGAAGGGAAACCGAGUCUUAACUGGGCGUUAAGUUGCAGGGUAUAGACCCGAAACCCGGUGAUCUAGCCAUGGGCAGGUUGAAGGUUGGGUAACACUAACUGGAGGACCGAACCGACUAAUGUUGAAAAAUUAGCGGAUGACUUGUGGCUGGGGGUGAAAGGCCAAUCAAACCGGGAGAUAGCUGGUUCUCCCCGAAAGCUAUUUAGGUAGCGCCUCGUGAAUUCAUCUCCGGGGGUAGAGCACUGUUUCGGCAAGGGGGUCAUCCCGACUUACCAACCCGAUGCAAACUGCGAAUACCGGAGAAUGUUAUCACGGGAGACACACGGCGGGUGCUAACGUCCGUCGUGAAGAGGGAAACAACCCAGACCGCCAGCUAAGGUCCCAAAGUCAUGGUUAAGUGGGAAACGAUGUGGGAAGGCCCAGACAGCCAGGAUGUUGGCUUAGAAGCAGCCAUCAUUUAAAGAAAGCGUAAUAGCUCACUGGUCGAGUCGGCCUGCGCGGAAGAUGUAACGGGGCUAAACCAUGCACCGAAGCUGCGGCAGCGACACUAUGUGUUGUUGGGUAGGGGAGCGUUCUGUAAGCCUGCGAAGGUGUACUGUGAGGUAUGCUGGAGGUAUCAGAAGUGCGAAUGCUGACAUAAGUAACGAUAAAGCGGGUGAAAAGCCCGCUCGCCGGAAGACCAAGGGUUCCUGUCCAACGUUAAUCGGGGCAGGGUGAGUCGACCCCUAAGGCGAGGCCGAAAGGCGUAGUCGAUGGGAAACAGGUUAAUAUUCCUGUACUUGGUGUUACUGCGAAGGGGGGACGGAGAAGGCUAUGUUGGCCGGGCGACGGUUGUCCCGGUUUAAGCGUGUAGGCUGGUUUUCCAGGCAAAUCCGGAAAAUCAAGGCUGAGGCGUGAUGACGAGGCACUACGGUGCUGAAGCAACAAAUGCCCUGCUUCCAGGAAAAGCCUCUAAGCAUCAGGUAACAUCAAAUCGUACCCCAAACCGACACAGGUGGUCAGGUAGAGAAUACCAAGGCGCUUGAGAGAACUCGGGUGAAGGAACUAGGCAAAAUGGUGCCGUAACUUCGGGAGAAGGCACGCUGAUAUGUAGGUGAAGUCCCUCGCGGAUGGAGCUGAAAUCAGUCGAAGAUACCAGCUGGCUGCAACUGUUUAUUAAAAACACAGCACUGUGCAAACACGAAAGUGGACGUAUACGGUGUGACGCCUGCCCGGUGCCGGAAGGUUAAUUGAUGGGGUUAGCGGUAACGCGAAGCUCUUGAUCGAAGCCCCGGUAAACGGCGGCCGUAACUAUAACGGUCCUAAGGUAGCGAAAUUCCUUGUCGGGUAAGUUCCGACCUGCACGAAUGGCGUAAUGAUGGCCAGGCUGUCUCCACCCGAGACUCAGUGAAAUUGAACUCGCUGUGAAGAUGCAGUGUACCCGCGGCAAGACGGAAAGACCCCGUGAACCUUUACUAUAGCUUGACACUGAACAUUGAGCCUUGAUGUGUAGGAUAGGUGGGAGGCUUUGAAGUGUGGACGCCAGUCUGCAUGGAGCCGACCUUGAAAUACCACCCUUUAAUGUUUGAUGUUCUAACGUUGGCCCCUGAUCGGGGUUGCGGACAGUGUCUGGUGGGUAGUUUGACUGGGGCGGUCUCCUCCUAAAGAGUAACGGAGGAGCACGAAGGUUGGCUAAUCCUGGUCGGACAUCAGGAGGUUAGUGCAAUGGCAUAAGCCAGCUUGACUGCGAGCGUGACGGCGCGAGCAGGUGCGAAAGCAGGUCAUAGUGAUCCGGUGGUUCUGAAUGGAAGGGCCAUCGCUCAACGGAUAAAAGGUACUCCGGGGAUAACAGGCUGAUACCGCCCAAGAGUUCAUAUCGACGGCGGUGUUUGGCACCUCGAUGUCGGCUCAUCACAUCCUGGGGCUGAAGUAGGUCCCAAGGGUAUGGCUGUUCGCCAUUUAAAGUGGUACGCGAGCUGGGUUUAGAACGUCGUGAGACAGUUCGGUCCCUAUCUGCCGUGGGCGCUGGAGAACUGAGGGGGGCUGCUCCUAGUACGAGAGGACCGGAGUGGACGCAUCACUGGUGUUCGGGUUGUCAUGCCAAUGGCACUGCCCGGUAGCUAAAUGCGGAAGAGAUAAGUGCUGAAAGCAUCUAAGCACGAAACUUGCCCCGAGAUGAGUUCUCCCUGACUCCCUGAGAGUCCUGAAGGAACGUUGAAGACGACGACGUUGAUAGGCCGGGUGUGUAAGCGCAGCGAUGCGUUGAGCUAACCGGUACUAAUGAACCGUGAGGCUUAACC